rnacentral:misc_RNA from 1 species
AUCUGCUUGAUUAAGUUCUGCGCCUGACAACUAGGAAAGGAUAACCCGUCAUACCAAAACAGUAUAAACGUUCAACUUAAAUUGGGAACUUGACCAUGUUCAAUUAAGGCAAGUGCACCUCAUACAGAUAAAUAAAGAAUGGCCUUUCAUCACUUGGGGUCAGCAGCUUAAUUCUCUAUCCGUUCAUUGACUAAUUAGAUUUCUGAGAUAAAGCACAAUACAAAUAGUUUAUCUAGUUACGUGAAAAGAAAAAAAAAA